CCUGGGAACUCCAGAGCCAGAGUUCUUUCCACUGUACCACUUGGGAAGGAUAAGUAUUCGAUGGAGAAAGACUUGUUAAUUCUUUUGGGAUCAGAUCUGUGAUUUCACCAGUAUCAUAGAACUCCAGGAUGAAGAGAUACUUUCUACUGAGGCAAGUCACCACGCACCCUGAAACUUAGAGUCUCAGAGAGUGCCAGAGGUCAUGGAGAAGUGAACUGACUUGCCCAGAAUCACAUAGUGGGAGCAGAGACAGCCAGGAAGGGCACCGAGGAGAUGAAAUCCAGAAUCUGGUAGCAAAGAGAAACUUGGCCACAACCAUGAGACCAGCAGAAAUGUUGCCUAACCAUUUUCAGGAAAUCUACUUUGAGGGGAGUUUUCUUUGAGUCUAUGUUGGGAAGUUACUACUUUUA